rnacentral:rRNA from 1 species
AUGCUCAUUGCUCAGAUUGAGGACAAGAUUAGGUUGCUGUGCCAAGAUGAUGGCAUGUCAGUGAUGACAUACGUGGCAGAACUGCAGGCUUUGUGGGCUGACCAGGAUAACUGUGAUCCCCUGGAACUCUAUGACACGGCUUCAAUCGAGUCAGGGCACAAGUGGAUGGCACGCAGGCGUGUGCUGAAAUUUUUGGCUGGCCUCAAAAGUUGCUUUGAUGCCAUGAAGGCUUCCCUGUUGCACCAACCUAGUCUGCCUACCAUUCCCGAGGCUAUUGCAGCGAUGACUCAAGAGGAGGUGCGCCUAUCUCUUGAGCAUGCAGACGUGAAGGUUGUGCCAGCUUCGACCUUUGCAGUCACUGAAAGCAUGGAGUGGGGACAUCCCACCAAAUGUCAUAUCUGUGGGCAAGUAGGUCACUGGAAGAGAGAAUGUCCAACUCGCGGCAGAGGUAGGGGAUAUAACAGAGGGGGGAACAGGCAGAGGCAAAAGUGCUAG